GCAAAAGUGAGUAAUCUGUAAUCGGAGCGAUGUGGAGGAGUGCAGUGCAGCUAAUGCGACUAGACCCUGCUGUUCUCCGAGGAAGACUGCUGGAGGGGAGGAAGAAGACGAGGAGAAGGAGAGGCAGAGGGAUGAGCAGGAAGAAGAACACACACAGAGGCUGUUGGGGGAUCGCUUGCUCCAAACAUAGCAGAAGGGGCCAGAUCCCUUCUCGCCUCCAGGCCUGUUUCUCACCCCCGUUAAGGAGGUGGGGAUUAGAGGUCAGGAACACCGCCACGUCCUCUGCCCGCAUCGAUCGCUGUUUCACAAAGUACUCCAGCUCAUGCAUUUUCUACAUCGCCUGUUUGCUCCUCAUUUGCAAAGGCUACAGUCACGACGGUGGUCCGAAAGCGUGACAGACAUGCAGGGUGAAGAACACAGCGGUCAUCCACUGCCCUCUCUUCGCUCCAUUCACCUCGAUGACCGAUACACACCGGUGUACAGCUCUCUACCCAACUACUCUGCACCACCUGUCUCAUGUCUGUGCUGUGAGGGCCAGAGUUGAAUGCUCACAAUAUGAGCUCAUCAGUAUACCUAACACUUCCUGUUAGUACAGGUACAAGCAAAGUCCUAAAUAUGAAUAAAAACAUCACUUUUUUAAUGUCAUAGAACAAAACAUUGGUUGCAGAGAAGACUGUCUGUGACAGAAGUUGAGAGUCUGUCAUUUCUGCAGGUCAAAGAGAAAUAUCAGCAAAAGUACCACAAAAACAGUCACAAAUAUGGAAAAGAUUUCUCUUCUGUUAUUCUCAUCUAUCUAGGUGGUACGCACAAUGUGAUACACAAGUCAACACAAAAUUCAUGAGAAUA
ensembl:lncRNA